ensembl:lncRNA
AGCGGCACGAUGUGAUCCACCGGCAAGGAGGGACGCCAAUAAGGCAUCCGAUAAGAUAAGUCUUAUAAAAUAUAUAGGUUUAUGAUAGUUAAGACUGAGCAAACAGAUGAGAAUCCUAGUCAUUGGCGAAGCAGCAUUGUACCUAAUACAAGUUUCUGUGUAUUCAUUUGGGCCUAACUCGGGCAGGCGGCUGUCAUAAAGCUCACACGUGAUGGUGGUGGGGCUCAGGUGGCUUUGGCAGAAAGAUUUAUCGUAACAAAGAUUUCACCAAGAAGGAUAUGGAAAUAACUUUGAAGAGUCUUCAUCCAAUGAUUGAUGGAAGCACAGGCAGACACCCACAGCUAAACACUGAACUGAGCUCCUGGAAACGAAUUGCAGAGAGGGAUGAGUGAUGAGCAAUGGAAUCAUGACCGAGCUGGGGAAACCCACAGAAACAGCUGACCUGAACAAGGGGGAGCUCAUGGACCCCAGACUGGUGGCUGAGAGGCUAACAUGGAACUAAUCCAGACCCCUUGAAUGUCAGUGAGGAGGCCUCAACAAUCUAUGGGGCCUCGGGUAGUAGACCAGUAUUUAUCCCUGGCACACAAAUGGACUUUGGGAGCCCAUUCCACAUGAAAAGAUGCUCUCUCAGUCUGGACACAUGGGGAGGGUCUAGGCCCUGCCUAGGAUGAUAUGAAAGACAUUGGAGAUCCUCCAUGGAGAGACUCACCCUCCCUGGGGAGCAGAGGGGGGAUGAGGG